CCCUUAGAUGUUCUGGGCAGCACGCGCGCUACAAUGGUCUUCGCAAACGGAUGCAUUCUCGAAGGAGAAUGCCAAUCUUGGAAUCUAUGCCUUGGUCGGGACAGUUGCUUGCAAUUUUUCGACUCGAACCAGGAAUUCCUUGUAAUCGUGAUUCAUCACAUCACGAUGAUUACGUCCCUGCCCUUUGUACACACCGCCCGUCGCUCCUACCGAUUGGGUGUGCUGGUGAAAUGUUCGGAUCGGCCGUUUGUCGCGGUUUCCGCGUCAUGUGGCUGAGAAGUUCAUUAAACCCUCCCACCUAGAGGAAGGAGAAGUCGUAACA
rnacentral:rRNA from 1 species